UGGCGGGCGGGCGCCGGAGGGAGGGGCCGCGCGCGCCGGGACGUGACGCGCCGGGCGGCGAGAGGAGCGGGGCCGCGGCCGCCAUCUUGGGUGCCCUGCCCGCCCUGCCCCCGGGAUCGUCCCCUCAGGGCGCCGCGGGGCUCGCCUCGCCCCGCCUCGCCGUCACGGCAGCUUCAAAAAGUCAAAAGAAGGCUGUUUCUUGUCACGAAACGUAGGACGGCAGGGGGGGGAAGUGUCCCGGCUGGUGCGGAAAGGAUGUGCCCGGCUUCCCGGGACACCGGAGGGGAGGAGAGGGCGCGGUGUCCCGGCGGGGGCACAGCUGUGCGAGCUUCGGAAAAGGACUCGGUAAAGGCUCGGCAAAAGGAGCCCCUGCAGCUGCCGCGUCUGUGGCCCUCAGCAGAACCGGUGUUGGAAAGCGAAGGACCCAGCAGCAGGAACUGAUAUCUGAGAAAUUAUUGCCCCUUAACUGUGACUCUUCAGAAAUACAAGGGAAACCUCCCACUACUAUAGCUUUUCUUUGAUGCAGGAGAAGCUACAGAAGCUACAACUGCGGGAAAAAAAGCUUUUUCUUUCCAAAAUAUCCAGUGUUUUUUCUUCUCAAAACUCACUUGCUCAUGCCUGUGACGUUUGGGACUCCACGUGUGAGGAAAAUAUGCUCCGAGUAGUACCUGUUCCUUCCAAUCUUCCAGAAUAUUAGGAAGAAAAAAAGCUGCUGUCCCAACUGUUUCAGCUAACCUGGUUCAUUUUAAUGGAAGGAGUACUGGAAGAAACAGAAACGCUUGCAGAGCAGAGAGAGUGGUCCCUUUUUUCUCACUUCUAUAGUCUGAUCCAGAAAAUAGGACCUCUGAGUGUAACUGGCAGCACUUGCUGGAAUGUACACAGCCCUGAUCCUGCGUGUGGUUUGUGCUCUUAAUGACUGGAAUAUUAAGUCAGGGGCUGUGGAGAUUCCUCUCUGUCAAGUCCCGUGUGUUGACAGAGCUCUCAUUUCAUCAGCAGCCUUAGGAUUUUCCACAACACUUUCUGAGAAAAGCCAAGAGCCAUGAUGGGAAGUGCAGUCUCCCAGAUGUGUAAGCUAAAGUCACUCGGAGCUUGAUGAAUAUCAGAAAAGAGAAGUGGACUUAGUUCUUUGUGAAAACAGGAAGAUCACGAUCUUUCAGACUCUGGGCUACCCUGAGUUUUAUCUCUGGGAGAUUUCUCAGAAGAUGAAGCUGCUAGAUAGAAGGAGUUCUCAUCAAGGCAGAAAGUGGCAGAAGUCUGAGUCACCACAGCCACAUCUGUUGCAUAAAUGUAGUAGCAAUGUCACAGCAAUAUGGGUAGGGUAAAUUAGGCAGGGUUAAUUAGUCCUGAUGGUAUUCCGUACAGGCACAGCUACUUGCCUGCCAGUAUGCAAACUGUUCUGUUAAAAGCUGGUGUGGGUGCAGAAACCUCCUCACACUGUGGGCUGGGGAUAAGAAAAAAGACAUUUUCUUGACAUGGCUGUUUACAUUUUAAACACAGUUUGCUGGCAAUAUAUUGGAAGGCUACAGAGGGAAAAAGAAAAAAAAGACCAUCUCAUUAGCUACUGCUCAUGCUAAUUUUGAUUGGUAUCCUGAAGAAAACAGGGUAUUAUAAAAGCAGAAUGCCAAUGUCAUACCUCACUGAUUGCAAACCAGUGUGUUUCAGAAGGAAGCCUUUAGUAGAGAAACAGGAAAAAAUACUAAAAUAUGUAAAAAAGUAGAAAUGUGUGGAAAAGCAGAAAUUCCAUCAGCACCUUCGAUUUAAAACCUGCUGAAUAGAACUGGCAAGUGGUUUCUCAUUGCUUUUAGCUUCUGCACUUACUGUUUAAGGAAAUGAUCAGCAAGUAAAGUGUUUUGUGCCACCAAAUUGGAAAUCUAUUUGCUAUGGCUUUUGUCACGUUGAGCUUAUUUUAUAACCCUGUACUUACAGCUGAAUGGUUUGAUUAAUUGAAGUGAAACUCCCUACUUUUGAGUUAAUUUUUCUGGCAUAUUUUAAUGCUACUUCCUUUUGUGAUUAAAGAUUGUAUCAGGGACAUGCAAAA